rnacentral:rRNA from 1 species
ACACGACUACAUUAGAUACCCCGGUAGUCCCAGCCCUAAACGAUGCGCGUUAGGUGUAUCGGUGACCACGAGUCACCGAGGUGCCGAAAGGGAAACCGUGAAACGUGCCGCCUGGGAAGUACGGUCGCAAGGCUGAAACUUAAAGGAAUUGGGCGGGGGAGCCACCAACGAACGGGGUGGAGCCUGUCGGUUUAAUUGGACUCAACGCCGGGAAGCUCACCGGAUAAGACAGCGGAAUGAUUGCCGGGCUGAAGACCCUGCAUGACCAGCUG